GGUUAUUUUUACAUUGAGCCCCCACCUGUCGCUUAUGGGUAGGGGCUGGAGGGAGGGUACAAUAGGUUCCCGCCAUUGUCAUUUAGGCAUUCAACUACAACUCAUGAGUGGGGGACAAUUGGUUCCCCCCCAUUGUCAUUUAGGUCCCCCACCCACCGCUCAUGAGUGGGGGCCAAAGGAGGGGACAAUAGGUCUACCCCCCCAACAUUGUCACUAGGGACCCUACCU